UGCAGAUUGAAACCUUUGCAAUGCCCUCUGUAGGACUAUACGGUCCUUUCGGAUAUAUUUUCACUAGCUCCACUGGCCCGUAUAGUUUUACUGGGAGCUGCUGAAAAUCUCCUCCAACANNN
rnacentral:precursor_RNA from 10 species